GUUGCAAAACAAUCCAAACAAAAGAAUCUCUAGAGGGACCCAAUCAACCACUUCCGUCCUCCUACAUCUCCCCUCGCUCUCCUCCUCCGCUCCUCCUGAUUUAAUUUCAUUCUCUCUCUCUUUGUCUUUCUGUGCCCCCCCCCCCCUCCACCCCACCCACUCAUUCUGGUGGAAAGUAUUCUAUGAAAGUCCAUGGGCGCAGCUUCACGGGUCAGAGUGGAGAGUGUUCUCAUAACCUGCUCCGCUCCUCACCCACCUUUUUUUCGUUAUAUACACACCUCGUCUCUCGGCCCCUCUGCUCCAUCUUUUCCUCCAGCUUGGACUCAUUUUUAUUCUCUCGGCUCUUUUGUUUCUUUUCUCGAUGCCCUCUGUCUCCAUAUUGGACAAAUUAAACAGGAGACAUCGACUUGCAGGUGUGUUGUGUGGACAAUGUUAAAAAGUUAAGACUUUCUCACAAACACACACACACACACACACAGCGGGUAUUAGUGAGAGGGAGCUACCGGGUUCAUGGUUUGGACCAACUGAAUUAAUGUCACACAUCUGGAAGAAAGCUCCUGCCUGCUCCACCCCUCUGCUGCGCUGUGUGGGUGUGAUCCCCAGUUUCCCUUUGUGUGUGUGUGUGUGUGUGUGUGUAGGUGUAGUGUUUCGAGUUCUUCUCUCCCUGAACCAGACCACCCACUCAGAAGACCAAUACAAGGACUACGGAGAGCCCGGAUAGACACACACACACACACUCACACACAUUCACACACACACACAUGUAGCUCCCUUCCAAGUCACCCCUCCCCAAUAUUCUCAGAAUAGAACACGUUGUUAUCAGAGGCUGAAAGUGAUCCCAGACCAGCUGACAUGCUAUCGAAAAGUUUUAAAAGUUGAUAUGAGAAAACCCGAAAGGGGGUGUUUGAUUCCGAGACGCUACGUUCUUUUUCAAAAAUCGCAGUCAUCGGUUGAAGAAUGUCCGAGUGUUUGAAAUCCAAAAUGAGAGCCUGGGAGUUCGGCGCUCUGUGUCUGUGACGGCGCCCUGGCGAGGCGCUUUGAGGGAGCUGCCGUGAGAACAAACACGGGAGAUCCACCCUGAGCUCCUCCGGGCCCGGGGGGGGGGGGGCGAGGUUGGUAGUUUGAUCUCAAAGUGCCAUUGAGCAAUCUCUAACAGCAAAAAGAUACAGGGAAACUGGUUCCAGGACCCCAAAUCCCCCAGACACCCCAGAGACCCCAGAGACCUCCGGGAACACUCGGUUUGUUGUGGUUUGAUUCAUUUCAGACUAUUUGACCUCCGUUAAACCACUAAGCCAGAUAAAGUAAACUGAUCAGGUUGUUAAAGUUUGAUGAUUUCUACCCAAUCAUAGUCCUCUGUGGUCAGACAGCUGUUUGAAAAAUGUAUCAGGACAUAUUUUAAGUGUGGAAUCAGGGAAUUUCCACCAUUAAAGCUUCUCACAGUGAUGGGAAACACAAAGGGGAACGAUGUUGCAAGAUAACUUAAUUAUUUCAGAUGAUAUCAAGCUUGGUUCGAAUUCCCUAAAAACAACGUGACGUGGCGACCGCAAAACGAAGCGCCAUGCGGCCGUCCUCACCGGGUCGGGUUGUAUUCCGGGAGCAACCUACAACGGAGUCGUCCACGUGCUCCACACCUGAGAGUGACGCGACGCACAACGACAAAGCACAGGGAGGAAGAAAUCGGAUUCAUUCAGGGACCUCUGGUCCAAUUACUUAUUGUCUCGUCUGUUAUCGCUCGUCUGGAUUAGCUUGGGACAAGUAAGAAAUUGAAAUUCAGUCUGAUCAUCAGGCUCGGAGAAAGGGGGGAGUUGUUCAGUUGGUUCCUCCCCGACAUCAACAUCUUCACGUGAAGGUGCAGGCCGCUCGUAAUCGAUACAGAACCGGCGCUUCGGGGAUCACAGAGCGGAUCAGAACGGGUUCAGCAGAACCAUGUACGCUCUGAAAAAUUAUUAGAUUACCUCUCAUUUUGAAACUGAAUACUCGGACACCCCAAAGAGCGAAACGAUCCUCGGCGGAUUCCGCCGCUGCUCUGAAGGCCGAAAGUUCACCGUUUUUCACAAGAGGUUUUCUUGGUGCGCUUUGUCGGAGUGUGAAUUCCUGGUCACCGCUUCCCCGUGUGAGACAUAGCAAUGUAUGUCCGUUGUCAGGGAGUAUCAACAUCACCGCGCAGUGACUAAUGAAAACAAGAUGAUACACCACUGAAACCACAGCGUGAUACGACGUGAAGCUGCACACUAAAUGGACUCUUUGGUCCGACUCUUGCAGAAAUCCCCUCUGGGAGUCUUGAGCAGGCCUGAGUGAGUUGAUCCUCCAGUCAGGUUCCUGCGCAUGUAAAUUUCAGUUCAAAGGACAAACCCAUUAGGCUUUUUCCUCCGCAUGCAAAUACCAAUGCACCUGCUCAACACCCACGGCAACUCUGUGCGCGUUGAGAGAAUUUGAGCACCUUCGCUUUCACGGAAGUGUGGAAGAAAUCCGUUUCUUAUCUUGAUUUGUGAAAUGAGGAACGAGUCAGCCAGCAAUGUGCAGUAUGUCGCCCACGUACAUUUAAUCAGAGCCGUUUGCUGACUUAAACCCCUCGAGUGCCGAGCGGCUGGCUUUUGACGACGGAGCCCGUGAGGUCGUGCGCGUCGUUCGUCCCUUUGAGCUCCAAUACUCAAAAAAAAAUCAAACUUCCUAUUGCAGUAUACAUUCUGUCUUUGGUGGGACAAAGAAAAAUGUGCGAGAACGAGAACAACCAACAUCUGAAUUCAUGUAUGAGGGGACUUUAUAUUUUCUCUCCUAUUAUUUAUUUUGGCCCGAUUUCACCGGCCAGCAUUAAUGGAUGGAAGAAGAAAAUUCACACAAUAAUACAUCUUCAGCUUUGACUGGGAACGGUUCCAUCAUGUUCAGCACAACAAUAAGAGGCAACACAUCGUUCUUCGGAGAUUGAUGCACAUCUUGUUAUGCAGCAGAGUGACUUGUCUUUCGGCGAGGAUUCAAACGUCAGGGCUCGAGCAGCCGAUUGAGCCAUUUUGAGUUACUCUGGGAAUCGAUAUGUUCGGUUUAAAUGUUUAUAUUCAUGGGGAAACCUUUAGUUAUUUUCACAACAGAACCCAUCGCACACAGACUAAUAAAACACAAUAGUGUCAUUGUUAGGAUUUGUCCCAAUGACACCAUUGAGACUAUCUGACUUGAAUUUGAAUUUGUGUGUUUUCCUAUUGAAGCAUUGUCCUUAUGCAGAACAUAAAACAGAUGCUAUUCACAAUUAUCCAGAGGAAGCCGAGGUAUUUAUAUAUGAUAGGAGAGGUGUGUGUGUGUGGGUCGGGGUCGGGAUUUUAAGAAAAACAUGUGGUAUAAUGGUGGGCGUUUUUUAAUUCUCACCAGAAAUGAUCCAUUGUUUCCCAAAGUGCAAAGAUGUGAUGUUUUGAAUUACAACACAUACGGGGAGAUGGAAAUCCAUAAGCCAAAGGUAAAGCAUAAUAUUUGAGCUCAUCGGUUUACUUGAACGAGUUGUUCUUUAUCUCGUUAGUAACUCAAACUAACUUAAAGGAAAGUUGGUUCGGAGCCAACAAACACAAAGGAAGUGUGACACGAAUUGAGCAAUGAGCCUCACGUCAGUGGUUGGAAUGAUGUUCUCCUAGUUUAUGGACUUUUCCCCGGCUAAGAGGUGUUUAAUUAAUUUAUUUUUAAUUUGAAUUGUUUUAAGUACAAGCUUGGACAAGAGGAAUAAAAUGGAAGCAGUUAAACAAGACCAAAGAAUGGUGACUGCAUAAAAAAGACGCCAUCUAAUUGGCUGGCUGCACGCACACACACACACACACACGCACACACACGUGCUACCGACGGAUGCAUGUGAAUAGUUACAUAAUCUAAAGAACCUCCCAAUGCUUGUCCCGGCCUGCCUGACCAGACCCUAUGUACACAAUGUGUGAGUUCUACACAUGUCCAACAGGCUGUUAACUUUUGUGGGUGGACAACCAUGAAAACAAUCAGCCUUCACU
ensembl:lncRNA